rnacentral:rRNA from 1 species
CCGGCGCACGGGUGAGUAACACGUAUCCAACCUGCCGUCUACUCUUGGCCAGCCUACUGAAAGGAAGAUUAAUCCAGGAUGGGAUCAUGAGUUCACAUGUCCGCAUGAUUAAAGGUAUUUUCCGGUAGACGAUGGGGAUGCGUUCCAUUAGAUAGUAGGCGGGGUAACGGCCCACCUAGUCAACGAUGGAUAGGGGUUCUGAGAGGAAGGUCCCCCACAUUGGAACUGAGACACGGUCCAA